GGAGUUGUGGCUCAGUGGUAAAGCACUCUCCUAUCAUGUGUGAGGCAUUGGGUUCGAUUCUCAGCACCA
rnacentral:tRNA from 1 species